rnacentral:lncRNA from 1 species
UUUAUUUGUUUGUAGUUGAGAGAAGAGUACAUGAUGUAACUGUAAUGAAUAAUAUAUAGUACCUAAGUACAAGAGAUGGAUGAGAGUUACAAUGAAAUGAAAAAUAAUAAAAAACGAUAUAUUACAAAAUAAAAGAAACAAAAUUGUUACUUCUGGACAUGAUGAGCUGCAUGGCAGUGAACUUCAGAGUCAGAAAUGCGUUUCUUGUAUUUGGCAAUGAAAGCCGUGGCCUUCAUGUCAAUGACAGGAUCAGCCACACCCCACCUUCCUCUGUCUUCAUCACUAGGCCACACUUUUGUAACUGCCUUUGCCCCUUCUUCAUAAUAAUAAUUACCUCUCUGCCUGUUGUUUGAUUUGAAAAUG